rnacentral:rRNA from 1 species
AGUGAACGCUGGCGGUAGGCCUAACACAUGCGAGUCGAACGGCAGCACAGUAAGAGCUUGCUCUUACGGGUGGCGAGUGGCGGACGGGUGAGGAAUACAUCGGAAUCUACUUUUUCGUGGGGGAUAACGUAGGGAAACUUACGCUAAUACCGCAUACGACCUACGGGUGAAAGCAGGGGAUCUUCGGACCUUGCGCGAUUGAAUGAGCCGAUGUCGGAUUAGCUAGUUGGCGGGGUAAAGGCCCACCAAGGCGACGAUCCGUAGCUGGUCUGAGAGGAUGAUCAGCCACACUGGAACUGAGACACGGUCCAGACUCCUACGGGAGGCAGCAGCGGGGAAUAUUGGACAAUGGGCGCAAGCCUGAUCCAGCCAUACCGCGUGGGUGAAGAAGGCCUUCGGGUUGUAAAGCCCUUUUGUUGGGAAAGAAAAGCAGCAGGUUAAUACCCCGCUGUUCUGACGGUACCCAAAGAAUAAGCACCGGCUAACUUCGUG